rnacentral:lncRNA from 1 species
UUCUUAUAAAUAUAUCCUAGGAGACACGAAAGGCAUAUCCAAGCAACAACAUUAUGUGGAUACGGUUGUAUUAUUGAAAAAUUUUAUGUCCAUGGUUGUAUUGUCAGCUGUACAAGCCUAAUAAUGCCCGGGCCCAAACCCAAUAAACUAAACCAAAACCCAAUAGCUAAUUCCUAACCCAGGCCCGAAACUAAUGGAAAAGGGAAGGGUUGGGAAGCCCUAGCAACAGCCCUCGCCUCCAGCAGACUCUCCAGGCGCCGCACGUCUCGGGGCCGACCUCUCCACACGCGCCGUUUGCUCCACGAACGCCUGCAAAUGCGGACUCAAUGAGUCCGAAAGAAAAAAACAACAAGAAAUAACAUUAUUUCAUUAUUUUCUUUUUCUUUUUCUUUUUCGGGCUAUAAAAAGCCAUUUCUAAUCUGUAAAAUGGGGGUCGAAAAAUAUAUGCAAAGAUAUAGAGAGAAAAUACAGGAAUUAAACUUGUUUUUGCAUAGGCGAUUUCUUCUUUGUUUUGCUUUGCAGUGUCCAUCGUUUUUUACAUAUAUAUUGUUUUAUUCUCUUUUAUUUUCGUUUUAUUUCAUUUAAAACAAUAAAGAAAAGAAGGGAUCUUACCUCUUUCGUCAAAGUCCCCGGAUGGUUGCCAUCUCCGUCGCAAUCGGAGCGUUGGCACGAACGGCGGCGCAAAAUGGGUUAAAAGAGCCCUAACAGAGCAACUAUUUUUUUUAAAUGUUUGCUGUGGCUGUUGUUUUGAAGGAAAACUAAAGACUUUCUAAUUAGGGUUUUGGGUUGGUUUUUAUAGAGGGAAAAGUGACACCGUUUAAUGGCCUAGUGAUCCUUGCAUUUUGUCUUAAUGGCCUAAUUGUGCAUUGGGUCCUUCAUUCUUUUAUUGCUUUAAAAUCAAGUUUUUUUUUGUUUUUUAAUUCCCCUAGGAUUUAUUUCAUUUUCAAUCGGGUCUAUAAUUGAACGGCGUCGUUUUGGAGGGUAGGGAUUAAUUUCCCUUUUGAUCCCUCCUUAUUAUUCACGUGUUCGAUCAAGUUUGUCCGUUUUUUUACUUAUUUUCGAAUCUACCCCAUUUUUUUGUUUUUAAGUUCAAUUUAGUCCAUCUUUAGCCAUUUUUUUAUUAUUUCUUUUUUUUAUGUUUAUCAUUAUAGCAUUAUUUAUUAUUAUAUUAUUUACUAUCACUGUUAUCAUCAUUACUUCUAUCUUCAUACAUGCAUUAUCUUUUUUAUAAAUAAUACAUAUACGCAUGUUUUUUACUCGCAUAGUUUUUUUUUAUAAUAUAUAUAUAAUGCAUUUUAUGUAGAAUAUGUAUAGCUGCAUACAUUUUAUACACUUUUUUAUUUUCAUUUUAUUUCUUAACUUCUAUAUACAUAUAUAUGCAUUUCAUAAUUUCUUAAUAUAUUUUUUUUUCAUUUUUUAAAUACACAUAUUUUUUACAAAACAUAAAUAUCUUUUAUAUUUUAAUUCCAAAAAUAUUUGUUUACUUUACUUUCGUGGAUAUGUACAUAUACCUACUUUCAUAUAUACGUUUCAUCAUUUAUUUUCAUAUUUUUUUUACAUACAUAUAUAUAUACACAUAUGCAUACUUUUAUAUUUUUUUAUUUUUCACGAUUUUCAAACACAUAUACAUGCAUUUUUAUUGGUUUUUUAAUUGAUAUAUUCUAUUCCAUCUUUCCAUAUGUAUUCUUGUAUAUGUACGUUAAAUAUAUGCGUACACAUAUUUUCAAAUUUACUUGUAUAUUGUACUUGUAUAUAUAUUUGUAAAUACAUAUUCAUAUAUGUUUUAAAUUAAAGUUUUUGUUUCAUAUUAACAUACCUUUUGGGAAAUAUAUUUUGGUUUGUCGAAACAUCAAAAUUAUUUUUUUCUCUUGAUUCAAUCUUUUUUUGAAUAAAAGCAAUAUUCAAAGUUUGGGAUUUUCGAGGAAAUCGAGCCCUAACGUAUUGGGUUCCGAUUUUCUUUGUUAAUCUUAAAUAACCGAGAAUAUUCUUUAUUCAAAAUACAUGAGUAUAAAAAUCACUUUCGGGAACUUAACUUGUUGUGUCCUAACGUAUUGGGUGUGACAUGUUAUUUUCUCUAAAUGAAGAUUUUCAUAUAAAAUAAAGUGAUAUUCAAAGUUCGGGGAUUAUGAAGAAUUGUACCCUAACGUAUUGGGACUCGAUUUCUUUACAUGACUUGAACAAUUAAUUAUCCUUUUUCAAAUUCCAUCGUUUGAGUUGAUUUUUAAAUUUUUUUUAACCUUCGACACUAAGACAUCAAAUAAUCAAUUUGGUGCCGAUUUUGGGCGUUACGAGUGUGCUAACCCUUCCUCGUGCGUAACUGACUCUCGAACUCGUUUUCUCAAAAUUCGUAGACCUAAAUAAUUUUUAAGGUGAGCCGAUCACACCUUAAUAAAGGAUUGGUGGCGACUCUAGUUUUAUUUUUUAAGUCGACAACUAGAUUUUUGUUUUUCAAAAAAACGAUUUCGACAGCUUGGCGACUCCACUGAAGACUUUGAGAGUCGAGCCAUAAACUGAUAGUAUUUGUCUUUGUGUCGAAAAUCAAAAGUUUUUAGAAAAUUUCAUGAGUUCCUUUCGCAUUCAUUGAUUUCUUUUUUUUCAUCUUGGUAUGUUGGUAGCUUUGCAUUUACAUUUUGCAUUGUACCCUUUAAGUGGGAGCGAGAAACUAGUCCUUCAUGAGGUUUUCACCUCCGUGCAGGGUAGUGGACCGUUUCCAGGAUGCAUCCGUACCUAUAUCUUCGUGAGAUUUUCAUCUCCGUGCAGCCAUAGGGAAAUGUAUCCCCUUGAACUGAACUUGAUCCAUAUGAGCCUAUAAUGGGUGAGGAUCGAGGAAUCUGCUGGUUCGGGUACCCUUACUCUAGAAACUAAACAUCAUAUAGUGAGCUUUAGGAACUUGACCUAGGUAGAACUAUCCCAAAACCCUAGUGGAUUCCAGAUUAACUGUUUCUUGCUAUUUCAUGCUUGUAUUGGAUUAUAUCUCUAUAUGUGAUACUGACUUGGGUUUCUUUUGUUUUGAUUGCAUGACAUCAUGAUUGCAUAGCAUUUCAUCCUAAAAGGGCGUUAGUUCAUAUUCGGUUGCUAAAUAGAAAGCUUAUCAUGGAGAAAGGGUUUCUUGAUAAGAUGGAAGAUAAUGCGGCUGUCCAAACUUGGUCUGAGACAACACAGCAAGAGAAAGGUGAUAGUUUGGCCGAGGGAUAUGUGUCAGAGUUGUGGGACUUCACUCGUGUUAGUGCGACUCAGAAUAGCCUACAUAAACUAAAGGAAAUUUGGGAAAGGUGGAAUGAUGAGGUUAAACAGCUCUUCUACUCUAGCUAUGGAGACCUACCUUACUUGCUCGACUUAAAGGUGGAUAAGCACUUAUUUCGUGCCUUAGCCCAAUUUUGGAAUCCUGCUUAUAGUUGCUUUACCUUUGGAAAAGUUGACUUAGUGCCUACGAUGGAGGAAUAUACGGCCUUGCUUCGUUUUUCAAAGAUCCAAGUAGAUAAAGCCUACUCGAGAGCUGCUAAUGUUCCAACCUUUUUGAAGAAAUUGAUGAAUAUUACGGGGAUGAGUGAGCAAUGGGCCGCAGCACGAAUCAAACAAAAGGGAGAUAGUAAAUGCAUUCCUUGGAAGAGCCUGAAGGAUUUAAUUCUAGCACACCCGGAUACGAGGAAGAAGGUUGAUGUCUUUGCCUUGGGUAUUUACGGUUUAGUUACCUUUCCCAAAGCCUUGGGACAUGUUGAUGAAGCAGUCACUGAUCUUUUCGAUCGACUUGGUAAAGGAGUUACACCGGUUCCAGCAAUUUUAGCAGACUCUUUCAGGUCACUGAACGAAUGCUGAAGAGUAGGUGAAGGAAGAUUCGUUGGAUGUGCGCAGCUUCUCUUGGCAUGGUUUCACAGUCACUUCUGGAAGGCUGAUAAAUUUUCCUAUCGAGUUUUUUUCUGAAACUUAUUCGCCUUUGAAAGAAAUAGUGGCGAUACCGAGGCAAGAUGGUGUUUUAGAAGAAAGAUGGAUUGCAAUUCUUCAGAAUCUUCAAGAGGAGAAUAUCGAGUGGAGAGCUCCUUGGAUGCUGCCAGAUGAGAUCUUGUAUAGGUGUGGAGAUUUCGAUAAGGUCCCUCUACUUGGGAUUUGGGGAGCUAUCGGCUAUGCACCGUUACUGGUAUUGAGACAGUAUAGAUCGAGGCAGUUCGUACCUACAACCCAAGGAUUAGCUCAAAGUGAAUUCUCGUAUAAGUAUGAUGGUUACAAGAAGAAGAUUCGAGAAAUGACAAAUGCUUAGAGGCAGACUCGACGAAUGAAGAGAUUGGCAGUAGUUCAUCGACGACUCUUGAAUAUAUCAAGUGGCUAGGUAGGAGGGUCAAUGAUAAUAUACCUGCACCAGGUCAAGGAGACAAUCAAUUAGUAGAAAAGCAUGUACAUGUAGUCCCUUCUGAGCUAGCAAUUAUAAAGCAAGAUUUUCAAAGAAGAAACUCAGAGCUCGAAAGGAAGAUAGAGCAAAUAGAAGAGGACAAGAUGAAUUUAAAGUUGGACAUAGAUGUUCAGAAGCUGGAAACCGAAGGUCUGAGAAAAGAAAAGUGCAAAGUCGAUGAAGAUUUGAAUAACUUGAAGACGGAUUAUAAGAGACUACGUAUGUCGAUGAGAACUGUUGGGUUGGGAAAAACCUCAGAGUAGUGGCGUCAAGAAGUUCAAGAAGCAAAAGGUCAAGGCUGAUAGGUGGGAAAAGAGAUUUCAGGAGGCUCAAAAGCAAAAUAAGUCCUUUGAGAGGAGUUUGUCAGAAAGUCGGAAUGAAAAGGAUGAAUUAAAAGCUAAGGUGGCCGAACUGGAUGAAACUAUUCAUCAAUAUCGAAAUCGCAAUGUUGUGAUGGAGUUGCAAGCAAGUUUGAGCAGGAUCGAGAAGAUGAAGAGAACAGUAGAAGGAUUAGAGAUGGCAUUACAGAACUGUGAAGUCAGGAUUGAACAUCUGGAAGCAAAUGAAGACCAUCAAAGUGAACAGCUUCACUAUCUCCAGGAUCAAAUUGCAAGAAGGGAUCACAUUAUGGGAGAAGCUGUGGUACAGAUUCAAGGGGUAGCUGAGCACCUGCAGACUUUAGCAAUACAAGCUGAUAUACUAAGUGUGAAGUACGAAUCAGAAUCAGAUCAGGGGCAGAAGUUGGCAUCAUUACUUAGGGAGAUUAAAGUUCUAAGUGUUAGGGCAAAGCCCUAUUUAUAGCCAUUUUAUGUAAAGAUCUCUAGUAAAGUUUUUUGAAUGGAAUUGAAUUAUAAUUAAUGCCUUUUUUGCAUUCAUCUCAUGCAUCGCAUCAUAUGUAUUAGCACCGCAUUAUAUGCAUUAAAGAUCUUUAUUUAAUCCUAAUAAGUCAAAAUCACUGCUCAGUUAACCUGGAAACCAACCAACCCAACACCGAUACGGCACUCGAGCAAAGACAAAAGAUAUGGAUCAGAGAUUGGAAAAACUCGAACAGUGUCAGAAGGAGAUGCAAGACCAACUUCAGCUACAGGUGCAGGAGCGGUUAGAUAAGAUGAAACAAGAGAUGUCUGAGAAGAUGCGAGAAUCCCAAGAAGAUAUAGUGGCAAAGUUAACCCAACUGAUAACUAAGGGAAGUGAUAAAGGAAAGGGCCCCAUGGCUAAUGUCGAUGAGGGAAAUGAUGAUGAACCUCUCUAUCCUCUAGGUUUCACCCCUCCACGUAUGCGAGCUCAAGUUGAAUACCCGCGCAAAUCUACUGUCACUAUCAUGCCUCAGCAGUUUCGGGCUGGUAUUUCAAACUUCCAAGCUGGACUGGGUUCUAAUCCUGAAAAUAAUCCUGUUAACUCUGCCAUUCCUGACUUUGAUGAAAUGGUUGAGAAGGAAAGAAUGAAGGAGGAGUUACUAAAACAGUUAGAGGAAAGGUGUAGGUGGCUCGAGGAGAAGUUCAAGGCGAUGAAGGUCACUGAGAGUUAUCGAAGCAUUGACGUAAAAGAGCUGAGUUUAGUGUCAGAUUUAGUACUCCCUCAUAAGUUUAAGAUGCCUGAAUUUGAAAAGUACAAUGGGACUAGCUGCCCAGAAGCUCACAUCACCAUGUUCUGCAGGCGAAUGGCGGGAUAUGUUAACAACGACCAACUCUUGAUACAUUGUUUCCAAGACAGCCUUGCUGGGGCAGCAUCCAAAUGGUACAAUCAGUUAAGUCGUGCCACGAUUGGUUCAUGGAGGGACUUGGCACAAUCGUUCAUGAAACAAUAUAAUCAUGUAACAGACAUGGCUCCUGAUAGAAUCACCCUUCUAAAUAUGGAGAAGAAGCCGAGUGAAAGCUUCAGGCAGUACGCACAGAGAUGGAGGGAGGUCGCGGUCCAAGUUCAGCCACCGCUCUUGGAAAAAGAAAUGACCAUGUUGUUCAUUAACACCCUGAAGGCACCGUUCAUUACACACAUGUUAGGAAGUGCUACAAAAAGCUUUCCUGACAUAGUCAUGAAUGGCGAGAUGAUUGAGAACGCCAUCAGGAGUGGGAAGAUUGAUGAAGGAGAGAGUAAUAGAAGAUCAACUUCGAAGAGGAAGGAAAACGAGGUGAACAACUCGAGCAUGUACAACAAGGGUUACUCGAAGUCAGUAACAGUGAGUUAGCCAGGAAAGGUGGCUGCCAAUCAGCAAAGCUCGUCGAGACAAGAGGUCGGUAUAAGGUGAAAUACUGAGAGGCCCCAAUUCACGCCAAUUCCUAUGUCGUACAGGGAACUAUACCGAAAUUUAUUUGACGCACACGUAGUUUCCCCUUUCUAUCUGAAGCCCUUGCAACCCCCGUAUCCCAAAUGGUACGAUGCGAAUGCACAGUGCGACUAUCAUGCGGGAACAACAAGGCAUUUCAUAGAAAACUGUACGACCUUUAAGAAGUUGGUUAAAAGGCUCAUUGGUAUGGGUGUCGUUAAAUUUAACUACUCGACCAAGGUAGGAAACCCGUUACCAAACCACACUGAUGGUGGGGUAAAUAUGAUGGGCGAAGACAGAAGAAUCAAGGCAGAAAUUACGGAUGUGAAAACUCUUUUGAGAUGGGUUUGAAAGGAAAUGGUGAAAAGGGGACUAAUCGUUUCAGAAGGAAGUUGUGAAAAGAGGGGGAACUACUGUGAGUUCCACCAUAAAGUGGGGCAUGAAAUCCAAGAGUGUACAGAGUUCAGAGCCAUGAUACAAGGUAUGAUGGAUAAUAGGGAGAUGGAAUUCUGUGAAUGAGUUCAAGAGGAGAGUCAUGUAUGCACGUCAGAGUUGGCAUUGGGAGUUCUGAAGGCUAACCAUCCUGUGGUCAUCAUCUCGCGACCUCAGAACAGUGAGGUUGGGGCAGAAAUAACACCAACAGUAAUCAUUCAAAAACUGGCUGUGUUUGCAUAUAAGGAUAACAGGGAGGUUCCUUGGAAUUACGAUUGUAAUGUGCAAUCCCGGGGAAGGAGGAUAUAAUCAGUAAAGAGGAUCAGAAUGAAGGAAGGCACUACGAACAGAUGAAGGCUCGAGUAGAGCCAAUAAGAAAAGAAGCUUCGGUUGGAAAGAAGAAGAAUACGGUCGAACCUAAAUUAUUGGUCAAUGAACCAAUCAAAGAGGAGGAAGCUAGAGAGUUCUUGAAGUUCCUAAAGCAUAGCGAGUACAGCGUUGUGGAACAACUGUACAAACAACCAGCUCGCAUAUCUAUGCUAGCUUUACUCCUGAACUCAGAGGGACAUCGAAAUGCACUACUGAAUGUGCUAAAUGAAACUUAUGUGGCUGACGAUAUCUCUGUUAACAAGUUGGGUCGACUGGUCGGUAAUAUAAGCGCUGAUAACUUCAUAUCCUUUAGCGAUGAUGAAAUACCACCUGGGGGUAUGGGAUCUACUAGAGCUUUACACAUCACUGCAAUGUGUAAAUGGUGCAUAUUACCAGGAGUUCUGGUAGACAACGGAUCGGCACUGAAUGUAUUGCCUCUAUCCACGCUCAACAGGCUACCUGUGGAUAGUUCACAUAUGAAGUCGUGCCAAAAUGUGGUGAGAGCAAUUGAUGGCACCGAGAGGAAAGUCAUGGGAAGAAUUGACAUACCCUUGUUAAUUGGCCCAACUAUCUAUGAGGUGGACUUCUUGGUAAUGGACAUCAACCCUUCUUACAGUUGUCUAUUAGGAAGGCCAUGGAUUCAUUCAGCAGGAGCGGUAUCAUCAUCGUUACAUCAAAAACUGAAGCUGGUGUCAGAAGGUCGGCUAGUGACGAUAAAUGCUGAAGAAGAUAUCAUUGCAUCUGUGACCAACGAUGCGCCUGAUUUGGAAACAAGUGAUGAUGCAAUCGAGUGCUCUUUUCAUUCCUUGGAGUUCGUAAAUGCAACAUUCAUCCUUGAGGAAAACAAGAUCCCGAUGUCGAGAAUAUCAAAGACCACAAAGAUGGGUCUGCAAUUGACAGUUGGAAAGGGAGCUUUGCCGAGAAAAAGAUUGGGGAAAUAUCUUCAGGGCCGAGUUGAGGCUCCAGUGUUGAAAGACAAGCAGGACCAUUUUGGCUUAGGAUACAAGCCAGAUGCUAGGCAGAAGAGGAUAGAGCAAGAGAAGAAGCGAGAGAGAAGAAGGGCUCGUUUGAUAGGUGAUCAAGUCAAAUGGGAGCCUAUGACCUUUCCUCACCUAUCUAAGACUUUUGUAUCGGGAGGAUUUAUCUAUCAAGGAAUGCUAGGAGUCGGAAGUAUUAACACGGAGUUAGAAAGUAUUCAUGCCGUGUAUGAAGAAGCGACGGGAGGAGGAACAUUGCAGGAUAUUCAACUUUACGAACCGAGAAGUGUGCUAAACAACUGGACUGCAGAAGAAAUACCUGUAGUUUUUAGGAUUUCCUCAGAGUAAUGUCCAGAACACCCUUAUUGCUUUUAGCCUAGAAGUGAUAAGGAUUCCUUUGUGAAAUAGGCUCAUGUCUAAAAAAUCGUUAUUUUAAUAAAGUUCAUUCUUGCAGUCAUUUUUGGAGCAAAUCUUUCUUUCUAUAAGAGCAGUUAUUUUGAAUUUCUCUCAAACUACACUUGCAUUUCAUUCAUGACCAUAUUGCACCAAAUAAAUUCCUGAAUCCAUAUUGUUUUUCAUAACAGGUCCUAUGAUAUCAAUGAUACGAAUGUCACUCUUACAAAUUUAGAGUCUCUUUUUGAACGAAACAUGUGUUUAGAAGGAUCGCAUGAUUUUGAAGAUGACGAAGACUGUGGUUUGUCUCCUGACUUGUUGAAGAUGGUAGAAAGGGCCGAGAAACAAAUCCUACCUCACAGGGAAUCAAUAGAAGUUGUGAGCUUGGAGGAAGGAAAAGAGGUGAAUAUCGGAUCUGAUAUUUCUGCAAAGAUAAGAUAAAACCUCAUCAGACUACUCCAGGAAUUCAAUGAUGUCUUUGCAUGGUCAUACCAAGAUAUGCCUGGGUUAAGUACGGACAUUGUAGUCCAUCGCCUUCCUAUAAAAGAAGAUUGCAAGCCAGUGCAGCAAAAGCUCAGAAGGAUGAGACCUGAUAUCGAGUUGAAUAUAAAAGAAGAGGUCCAGAAGCAGUUUGAUGCUGGAUUUCUGCAAGAAGUGAAGUAUUCUGAGUGGGUGGCCAACAUCGUACCAGUUCCAAAGAAAGAUGGGAAUGUACGAAUGUGUGUGGAUUACAGGGAUUUUAACAAGGCCAGUCCAAAAGACAGUUUCCCAUUACCUCACAUCGACACAUUGGUAGUCAAUACAGCGGACUUUUCAUUGUUUUCCUUCAUGGAUGGUUUUUCUGGGUAUAAUCAGAUAAAGAUGCAUCCCGAGGACAGGAGAAAGACUACGUUCAUUACGUUAUGGGGAACGUUUUGUUAUAAAGUGAUACCGUUUGGAUUAAAGAAUGCGAGAGCAACAUACCAAAGAGCCAUGGUAGCCUUAUUCCAUGAUAUGAUGCAUAAGGAGAUCGAGGUUUAUGUUGACGAUAUGAUCGCGAAAUCUAGAACGGAUGAGGAACAUGUGCAGGUCUUGAGAAAGUUAUUCUUAAGAUUGAGAAAGUUCCAGCUCAAGCUUAAUCCAGCGAAGUGCACUUUUGGGGCCAGGUCAGGAAAAUUGCUAGGCUUCAUAGUCAGUGAAAAGGGAAUCGAGAUUGACCCAGACAAAGUCAAGGCAAUAAGAGACUUACCUCCACCUCGCACUCAGAAAGAAGUUUGAGGUUUCCUCGGAAGACUGAAUUACAUCGCUAGGUUCAUUUCACAACUAACUGAGAAAUGUGACCCUAUAUUUUAUCUUUUGAAGAAACAUAAUCCUGGUACUUGGGAUGAAGAAUGCGAAGAAACUUUUAACAAGGUGAAGCAGUAUUUAUCUAAUACUCCAGUGCUAUCACCACCUAGCCCAGAUAGGCCGAUGAUAUUGUAUGUGAUAGUAUUUGAUAAUUCCAUGGGGUGUGUGCUAGGCCAACAUGAUGAAACGGGGAGAAAAGAAAGGGCGAUAUAUUAUCUCAGCAAGAAAUUCACUGACUGUGAAAUGAGAUAUUCGCCCAUUGAGAAGUUGUGUUGUGCCCUGAUUUGGACAACCCAAAGAUUAAGGCAGUACAUGUUAUACCAUACGACUUGGCUAAUCUCAAAGUUAGACCCGUUAAAGUAUAUGAUGGAUUCAACUGCUUUGAAUAGGAGGAUGGUCCGAUGGCAGAUUUUACUGUCUGAAUUUGAUAUCGUCUAUGUGAGUCAAAAAGCUGUAAAAGGGAGCGCAAUAACUGACUUUCUGGCUAGCAGGGCUUUGGAAGAUUACGAACCGUUAAGUUUUGAUUUUCCAAAUGAGGACUUGUUGUAUGUAGCUGCUAUUGAAGAAAAUCCCCAAGAACGUCACAGUUGGAAGCUAAACUUUGAUGGAGCCUCGAACGCUGUGGGCAAUAGAAUUGGGGCAGUCCUGGUGUCCCCGAAUGGUGAUCAUUAUCCUUUCACUUGCAAAUUGGAUUUUGAUUGUACAAACAACAUGGCAGAAUACGAAGCAUGCAUCAUGGGUAUUCGUGCAGCUAUAGAGCGAAGAACCAAAGUGCUAGAGGUCUAUGAAGAUUGAGUACUGGUGAUAUAUCAGCUUAGGGGUGAAUGGGAAACGAGAGAUCCCAAAUUAAUCAGUUAUCGAAAGUUGGUCCUCGAAUUGAUUAAGGAGUUUGAGGACAUCACUUUUUGCUAUCCCCUACGAGAUGAGAACCAGAUGGCUGAUGCACUAGCUACUUUAGCCUCUAUGAUCAAGGUGAACAAACAUGAGGAUAUGAAGCCUAUCCAAAUGAGUAUCUAUGAAAACCCAGCUCAUUGUUACAAUAUUGAAGAAGGAGAAAUCGAUGAUAGUCCUUGGUAUCAAGAUAUACUACGAUAUGUAAAAAAUCGUGAGUAUCUUGGCCAGGCAAUGGAGAAUGAAAAGAGAACUCUGAGAAGACUAGCCAUUGAUUACGUCUUAAAUGGGGAGAUCUUAUACAGGAGGGGAAAAGAUCAGGUACUGUUAAGAUGUGUGGACGCCGUAGAAGCAAAGAAAAUCCUGGAGGAAGUCCAUAAGGGCAUCUGUGGAACGCAUGCCAAUGGUUUCACAAUGGCUAGACAGAUUAUGAGAUUCGGGUAUUACUGUCCACCAUGGAAGGGGAUUGCAUCAAUUACUCCAAAAAGUGCCAUAAAUGUCAAAUCUAUGGUGAUAAAAUGCAUGCACCUCAUUCGCCUCUUCAUGUUAUGACUUCUCCAUGGCCUUUCUCCAUGUGGGGUAUGGAUGUCAUCGGGCCAAUAUCGCCGAAGGCUUCAAAUGGGCAUCGUUUCAUAUUUGUGGUUAUUGACUACUUCACCAAAUGGGUAGAAGCUGCUUCGUAUGCUAGCGUUACAAAGUCAUCAAUCAGUAAGUUCUUGAAAAAGGAGAUCAUAUGUCGAUAUGGAAUGCCUGAAAGAAUCAUAUCCGACAAUGCGCUGAACCUGAACAACAGCUAAAUAGUAGAAGUCUGCAGUCAAUUCAAGAUUAGACAUCACAAUUUAUCGCCGUAUUGCCCAAAAAUGAAUGGUGCAGUGGAAGCGGGUAAUAAAAAUAUAAAAAAGAUUGUGGGGAAGAUGACUGAGACUUACAGGGACUGGCACGAGAAAUUAUCGUUUGCCCUCCUUACUUAUCGAACGUCAAUCAGGACCUCCACCGGGGCAACGCCUUUCUCCUUAGUUUAUGGCAUGGAAGUAGUCUUGCCUAUCGAAGUUGAAAUCCCUUCUCUCCGGGUUUUGACUGAGCUACAAUUGGAUGAAGCAGAAUGGGUUCAAUCUCGAUACGAUCAGUUGAACUUGAUAGAGGGAAAAAGGCUAAAGACUAUUUAGCAUGGUCAGAUGUAACAGAAAAGAAUGAUGCGAGCCUACAACAAGAAGGUCCGACCUAGAGAAUUUCACGAUGGGGACCUGGUGUUGAGAAAAAUUCUUCCUCUACAAAAAGAUUUUAGGGGGAAAUAGAUGCCGAAUUGGGAAGGUCCUUAUGUUGUAAAAAAGGCCUUUUCUGGAGGAGCCCUAAUCUUGGCUGAAAUGGAUGGAAGAAACUUGCCUAAUCCAGUAAAUUCAGAUUCGGUCAAGAGAUACUUUACUUGAAGAAGGGAAGGAACCAAGGUGAAAACCCGCAAAGGGCGCUUUGAUUCCAAAAAAAAUAAAAAAAUAAAAUAAAAUGGAGAGGCUAGGGUGAAAACCCGCAAAGAGCACCUUAAGACCAAAGGGGUUUGAGUUGAAAACCUGACAAGGGCGGCUCAAAGUCUGAUUGAAGCACGUGGUAGUCUUGUUGUACCUAAAUCGGCAGAAAGGAAUAGAUGACAUCUUGGGGCAUCAACAAAAUACUAUGAAUCUCAUAAACACGUGUUAAAUUCAGAAGGGUCCUCAGAAAGUUGUAUAGAGCAAUUCAAGCAAAGAUAUCUGGGGCAGUUGUCCAUAAUUUGUGUUUCUAAAACACUUCAUUCUUUUUCAAUAUAAGUGUUUUAGUCAAUUUCCUUUUUUUUUUGACUUGUUUUCAUUGAUAAUUUAUUGCAAGUUAUGAUCUCAAGUCAAUUUCGUUUUAUCUAUCAUUAUGAUCUUUUCAAAAGCAUGUUGCAUUAGAAUAACGAUUAAUGGACUAAUAAAACUUUCACAAGGAAAGUUUUUCAUAUUACUCUGGAAAUUUCUAAAUAAUACAAGAACCUGAAGCAGGACUAUUGUUUAGACUUCACCGGGUUAAAAGGUCGAAGAUAUAUAGGAGUAAAAAGCCGAAUCAAGAAUUUUUGAGUUUUUUUCGAAGCGUUGUUAUGACAAAGGAAGCCUUAAUGUGUAAUAACGACUUCAAUAUUUAGCGUUAAUGAAUCAUUUUCAUGACAUAGCAUUUAGAUGUCAUUCAUACAUGCCUAGUUAAGAGCAUGUGAUCCAUUCCAAUCAUGAUAUCCUAAUCACUAGGCAUAAUUAGGUUUAUCAUACAGGUCAUGUUCCACAGAGAACAGGUCGGUGGAAUCAUAAAACCUUAUCUCCUUGAGCAGCAGUGGAGCAGGUUGAAAGAUAACAGAUAUUGUCUUCAUGUACUAGCGUGAAGUACAUCAGAGAUACCAGAUCUUGCCUUCCCAUACUGGUGGCGAAGCUGGUUGAAAGAUAACAGAUCUUGUCUUCAUGUACUGGCGUGAAGUAGAUCAGAGAUACCAGAUCUUGCCUUCCCAUACUGGUGGCGAAGCAGGUCAAAGAAAACAGAUCUUGUCUUCAUGUACUGGCGUGAAGUACAUCAGAGAUACCAGAUCUUGCCUUCCCAUACUGGUGGCGAAGCAGGUCAAAGAAAGAAGAUCUUGUCUUCAUGUACUGGCGUGAAGUAGAUCAGAGAUACCAGAUCUUGCCUUCCCAUACUGGUGGCGAAGCAGGUCAAAGAAAGCAGAUUUUGUCUUCAUGUACUGGCGUGAAGUAGAUCAGAGAUACCAGAUCUUGCCUUCCCAUACUGGUGGCGAAGCAGGUCAAAGAAAGCAGAUAUUGUCUUCAAGUACUGGCGUGAAGUAGAUUAGAGAUACCAGAUCUUGCCUUCCCAUACUGGUGGCGAAGCAGGUCAAAUAAAGCAGAUCUUGUCUUCAUGUACUGGCGUGAAGUAGAUCAGAGAUACCAGAUCUUGCCUUCCCAUACUGGUGGCGAAGCAGGUCAAAGAAAGCAGAUCUUAUCUUCAUGUACUAGCGUGAAGUAGAUCAGAGAUACCAGAUCUUGCCUUCCCAUACUGGUGGCGAAGUAGGUCAAAAAAAGCAGACCUUGUCUUCAUGUACUGGCGUGAAGUAGAUCAGAGAUACCAGAUCUUGCCUUCCCAUACUGGUGGCGAAGCAAGUCAAAGAAAACAGAUCUUGUCUUCAUGUACUGGCUUGAAGUAGAUCAGAGAUACCAGAUCUUGCCUUCCCAUACUGGUGGCGAAGCAGGUCAAAGAAAGCAGAUCUUGUCUUCAUGUACUGGCGUGAAGUAGAUCAGAGAUAACAGAUCUUGCCUUCCCAUACUGGUGGCGAAGCAGAUCGAAGAAAACAGAUCUUACCUUCCCAUACUGGUGCCGAAGCAGAUCGAAGAAAACAGAUCUUGUCUUCAUGUACUGGCAUGAAGUAGAUCAAAGAUAAUAGAUCUUGCCUUCCCAUACUGGUGGCGAAACAGAUCGAAGAAAACAGAUCUUGUCUUCAUGUAUUGGCGUGAAGUAGAUCAAAGAUAACAGAUCUUGUCUUUCCAUACUGGUGGUGAAACAGAUCGAAGAAAGCAGAUCUUAUCUUCAUGUACUGGCGUGAAGUAGAUCAAAGGUAACAGAUCUUGUCUUCCCAUACUGGUGGCGAAACAGAUCGAAGAAAGCAGAUCUUGUCUUCAUGUACUGGCGUGAAGUAGAUCAAAGGUAACAUAUCUUGUCUUCCCAUACUGGUGGCGAAGUAGAUCGAAGGAAAAAGCGGAUCUUAUCUUCAUGUACUGUCGUGAAGUAGAUCAAAGAUAACAGACCUUGUCUUCCCAUACUGGUGGCGAAGUAGAUCGAAGAAAGUAGAUCUUGUCUUCAUGUAUUGGCGUGAAGUAGAUCGAAGAAAGCGGAUCUUGUCUUCAUGUAUUGGCGUGAAGUAGAUCGAAGAAAGCGGAUCUUAUCUUCAUGUAUUGGCAUGAAGUAGAUCGAGGAAAGCAGAUCUUGUCUUCAUGUAUUGGUGUGAAGUAGAUCGAAGAAAGCAAAUCUUGUCUUCAUGUAUUGGCGUGAAGUAGAUCGAAGAAAGCAGAUCUUGUCUUCAUGUAUUGGCAUGAAGUAGAUCAAAGAGAGCAGAUCUUGUCUUCCCAUAUUGGUGGCGAAGUAGAUCGAAGAUACAAGUCUUAUCCCCCUGAAGUUGCAGUGGACCAGACAGAAAUAACCGAUCCUAUCUCCUUGGAAUUGCAAUGGAGUAGAUUAAAAUCACAGAUCUCAUCUCUCUGAAAUUGCAGUUGAGCAGAUCGCAUCCGAUUUAUCUUUAAGUCGUAGCAGAACAAGUCGAAGUUAUAAGUCUUAUCUCCCUGAAGAUACAGUGGAGCAGAUUAAAGAUAGCAAAUUUUGUUCUUUCGAGACGCUAUAACAUAUGAAUCUUAUUUCCCCGACAUUGUAAUGGGGUAGAUCGAAGCACCAGUUCCUAUACAUCUGAAGAUACAGUAGGAGGGAAUGUGGUUACUUGAAGAAGAAAAGCACUGAAGAAGGCGAGGCUCAGUAAGACCGGGUACAAUCGGGCUUUUAGUCUUUGCUCUACUCCCGUUACACGACAAUGAGCAAAGAGGGGCAGCUGUACAAGCCCAAUAAUGCCCGGGCCCAAACCCAAUAAACUAAACCAAAACCCAAUAGCUAAUUCCUAACCCAGGCCCGAAACUAAUGGAAAAUGGAAGGGUUGGGAAGCCCUAGCAGCAGCCCCCGCCUCCAGCAGACUCUCCAGGCGCCGCACGUCUCGGGGCCGACCUCUCCACACGCGCCAUUUGCUCCACGAACGCCUGCAAACGCGGACUCAAUGAGUCCGAAAGAAAAAAACAACAAGAAAUAACAUUAUUUCAUUAUUUUCUUUUUCUUUUUCGGGCUAUAAAAAGCCAUUUCUAAUCUGUAAAAUGGGGGUCGAAAAAUAUAUGCAAAGAUAUAGAGAGAAAAUACAAGAAUUAAACUUGUUUUUGCAUAGGUGAUUUCUUCUUUGUUUUGCUUUGCAGUGUCCAUCGUUUUUUACAUAUAUAUAGUUUUAUUCUCUUUUAUUUUCGUUUUAUUUCAUUUAAAAUAAUAAAGAAAAGAAGGGAUCUUACCUCUUUCGUCAAAGUCCCCGGAUGGUUGCCAUCUCCGUCGCAAUCGGAGCGUUGGCACGAACGGCGGCGCAAAAUGGGUUAAAAGAGCCCUAGCAGAGCAACUAUUCUUUUUUUUUAAAUGUUUGCUGUGGCUGUUGUUUUGAAGGAAAAC